ACUACGGGGGGCAGCAGUGAGGAAUAUUGGUCAAUGGGCGAGAGCCUGAACCAGCCAAGUCGCGUGAAGGAUGACGGCCCUACGGGUUGUAAACUUCUUUUGUCAGGGAGCAAUUGAGUCCACGUGUGGGCUUAGCGAGAGUACCUGAAGUAAAAGCAUCGGCUAACUCCGUGCCAGCAGCAGCGGUAAUACGGGGGAUGCGAGCGUUAUCCGGAUUUAGUGGGGUAAAAGGGUGCGCAGGGGGUCAGUUAGGUCAGCGGUAAAAGCCCGGGGGUAACCCCCGGCCCGCCGUUGAAACUGGCAGUCUCGAGUUGGAGAGAAGUAUGCGGAAUGCGCGGUGUAGCGGUGAAAUGCAUAGAUAUCGCGCAGAACUCCGAUUGCGAAGGCAGCAUGCCGGCUCCACACUGACGCUGAGGCACGAAAGCGUGGGUAUCGAACAGGAUUAGAUACCCCUGUAGUC
rnacentral:rRNA from 1 species